CAACAUCCCCACCCCUAAACUAUAUAUAUUCUUGUAGGGGACAAUAAAACUAAUCACAUGAAAUUAAAUGGAAGUUCCUGGGGGUCACCCCCACCCCGUUCAAUUUGAGAAUGUGCUAUUAUCUUGUAAACGGUCCAGAUCCCCACCCUUAAACCAUAUAUAUUCUUGUAGGGGACAAUAAAACAAAUCAAAUGAAAUGUAGGUAACUUCCCUGGGGGUCACCAACAACCCCUCCUGUUUGAAUACUUGUAAAUGGUGGAGAUCCCUACUCGUAAGCCAUAUAUAUUCUUGUAUGGGACAAAAAAUCAAAUCAAAUGAACAUAUGAAUGGCGAGUUAUGGGAGCUUUGUUUGGGAG
rnacentral:lncRNA from 1 species